AUACGGAGGACGCGAGCGUUAUCCGGAAUUACUGGGCGUAAAGAGCUCGUAGGUGGUUUGUCGCGUCGUCUGUGAAAUUCCGGGGCUUAACUCCGGGCGUGCAGGCGAUACGGGCAUAACUUGAGUACUGUAGGGGAGACUGGAAUUCCUGGUGUAGCGGUGAAAUGCGCAGAUAUCAGGAGGAACACCGGUGGCGAAGGCGGGUCUCUGGGCAGUAACUGACGCUGAGGAGCGAAAGCAUGGGUAGCGAACAGGAUUAGUUACCCGGGUAGUCCAUGCCGUAAACGGGGGGCGCUAGGUGUAGGGGUCUUCCACGACUUCUGUGCCGUAGCUAACGCAUAAAGCGCCCCGCCUGGGGAGUACGGCCGCAAGGCUAAAACUCAAAUGAAUUGACGGGG
rnacentral:rRNA from 1 species